UACGUAGGUGACCAGCGUUGUCCGGAUUUACUGGGCGUAAAGGGCGCGUAGGCGGCGCGACAAGUCACUUGUGAAAUCUCCGGGCUUAACUCGGAGCGGCCAAGUGAUACUGUCGUGCUAGAGUGCGGAAGGGGCAACUGGAAUUCUCGGUGUAGCGGUGAAAUGCGUAGAUAUCGAGAGGAACACCUGCGGCGAAGGCGGGUUGCUGGGCCGACACUGACGCUGAAGCGCGAAAGCCAGGGGAGCGAACGGG
rnacentral:rRNA from 1 species